rnacentral:lncRNA from 1 species
CUGUAUUUGAAAAAAAUGGAAGAAAGAAAAUGAGCUUUACAGACUCAUAAAAUAUUUUUUUUCAAAAUAUAACAAUUUAACCAUAUUAAGAUACAUCCAUCCACAUAAAUUUUUUCAAAAUAUACCAUACAUUAUAGUGAGACAUGAAUUAUUUCUUAGUUUUUUAUGACUAUAAGCACGAUCAGCCUCGAGACAAAGUCCCCUUGAAUACAAAAUAUGUGACUAAUCAGCUUGUGCUAUUGAUCAACCCCUAUUGGUUAGGCUCGAAUGGAAAGUAGCUUUAAAUCACAUGACUAUAAUUCACCCUACGAUAGUGCAAAGAGAUUAGUCCUAAAAACUAAUACAUGAUGUAUCAGCAUAUGCCAAUGGUCAACAAUAAUUGGCUAGGCCCAAAAGAAUUAGCUAUGUCAGUA